rnacentral:rRNA from 1 species
CCUACGGGAGGCAGCAGUGAGGAAUAUUGGUCAAUGGUCGGGAGACUGAACCAGCCAAGCCGCGUGAGGGAUGAAGGUACAGAGUAUCGUAAACCUCUUUUGUCAGGGAACAAAGGCGGGGACGUGUCCCCGGAUGAGUGUACCUGAAGAAAAAGCAUCGGCUAACUCCGUGCCAGCAGCCGCGGUAAUACGGGGGAUGCGAGCGUUAUCCGGAUUUAUUGGGUUUAAUGGGUGCGCAGGCGGUCUGUUAAGUCCGCGGUCAAAGCCCGGGGCUCAACCCCGGCCCGCCGUUGAAACUGGCAGUCGCGAGUUGGAGAGAAGUAUGCGGAAUGCGCGGUGUAGCGGUGAAAUGCAUAGAUAUCGCGCAGAACUCCGAUUGCGAAGGCAGCAUGCCGGCUCCACACUGACGCUGAGGCACGAAAGCGUGGGUAUCGAACAGGAUUAGAUACCCCAGUAGUC